rnacentral:rRNA from 1 species
GACGAACGCUGGCGGCGUGCUUAACACAUGCAAGUCGAACGGAAAGGCCCUGCUUGCAGGGUGCUCGAGUGGCGAACGGGUGAGUAACACGUGGGUGAUCUGCCCCUUACUUUGGGAUAAGCCUGGGAAACUGGGUCUAAUACUGGAUAGGACCAUGCUGUAGGUGGUGUGGUGGAAAGAUUAGUUUCGGUAAGGGAUGAGCUCGCGGCCUAUCAGCUUGUUGGUGGGGUAAUGGCCUACCAAGGCGUCGACGGGUAGCCGGCCUGAGAGGGUGGACGGCGAGGUUGGGACGGGGGGGGGGCGGAGACGGGGGGGGGGGGGAGGGGGGGGGGGGGUGGGGGGGGGGGGGGGGGGGGGGGGGGGGGACGCCGCGUGGGGGAUGACGGCCUUCGGGUUGUAAACUCCUUUCAGCCAUGACGAAGCCCUUGUGGUGACGGUAGUGGUAGAAGAAGCACCGGCUAACUACGUG